rnacentral:misc_RNA from 1 species
GUAGUCACAUUUGUUGAAUAGAGUAAAUUCUACGUGAUUGAAUCUCUAAUUUAAAAAUAAGUGAUUAGUGAUUAACUUGGGACUUAAAUAAUCAAAAAUAAUAAGAUGUCACAGCAGAGUGAAGGUCGAAGGACAAUUCGCCAUAUCCGGAAUUACGUCAGACGCCACCAAAUUUAAUUAUGUCAUCGUACACCUGGACCCGCAGUAUGCAAAGGAGGUGAAAGACAUUAUUAUAGCUCCUCCAGUGGAC